rnacentral:rRNA from 1 species
AUUGAACGCUGGCGGCAGGCCUAACACAUGCAAGUCGAACGAGUGGCGGACGGGUGAGUAAUGUCUGGGAAACUGCCUGAUGGAGGGGGAUAACUACUGGAAACGGUAGCUAAUACCGCAUACCAUCGGAUGUGCCCAGAUGGGAUUUGCGAGUAGGUGGGGUAAAGGCUCACCUCGGCGACGAUCCCUAGCUGGUCUGAGAGGAUGACCACCCACACGUGAACUGAUACACGGUCCAGACUCCUACGGGAGUCAGCAGUGGGUAAUAUUGCACAAUGGGCGCAAGCCUGAUGCAGCCAUGCCGCUUGUAUGAAGAAGGCCUUCGGUUUGUAAAGUACUUUCAGCGGGGAGGCUUUACCCGCAGAAGAAGCACCGGCUAACUCCGUGCCAGCAGCCGCGGUAAUUC